CCUACGGGUGGCAGCAGUCGAGAAUCAUUCACAAUGGGGGAAACCCUGAUGGUGCGACGCCGCGUGGGGGAAUGAAGGUCUUCGGAUUGUAAACCCCUGUCAUGUGGGAGCAAAUUAAAAAGAUAGUACCACAAGAGGAAGAGACGGCUAACUCUGUGACAGCAGCCGCGGUAAUACAGAGGUCUCAAGCGUUGUUCGGAAGCACUGGGCGUAAGGCGUGCGUAGGCUGUUUCGUAAGUCGUGUGUGAAAGGCGCGGGCUCAACCCGCGGACGGCACAUGAUACUGCGAGACUAGAGUAAUGGAGGGGGAACCGGAAUUCUCGGUGUAGCAGUGAAAUGCGUAGAUAGCGAGAGGAACACUCGUGGCGAAGGCGGGUUCCUGGACAUUAACUGACGCUGAGGCACGAAGGCCAGGGGAGCGAAAGGGAUUAGAUACCCCUGUAGUC
rnacentral:rRNA from 1 species